UGGAGGCGCCACUGUCUACACUGGCCACUCCUCCCGGAUUGGAGCGGCAACCACAGCCGCUGAACAAGGGUUGCCGGUCGCGUCUAUCAAACGGCUGGGAAGGCGGUCUUCCACAGCUUACGAAUCCUACAUCCGGUUGAAUUCAUGGUUCUUCCUCCAAGCGCACGAUGCUCUAACGUCGGUUAAGGCAGGUUUAUCACGUUUGCUACUACAGCUGUUUUUGGCGGCCUGUUUCCAUUCUAGUUUUAGUCUUGGUGUCAAGGUGUCAUUUUUGUUUUUAUUAGUUUAGUCACGUUCAUACUCUUUCCAGUGAUAUCGAAAUUCCGUUUAGGUAUUAUCAAAGAUACAAGUGCGUAGAUUUGUUAAAUAAGGUAAACGGUUGAAAAUUGAUGUUAUGUCUGGAACAGUUGAAGUUCCAGUUGAACAAAAUAACGUUAUAAGUCUUUAUCACCUAGUUUAGGUCAACGAAAAUGAAGACAUUUUAGCAGUCUUAUUUUCGUAAAACACUUUUUAGUCUUGUUUUAUUAAGCCAACUAUAUUGUACUAUGCUUUUAAUCACAGCUAUUGUCACACGCCCAGCAUCCACGUUGCGUCCAGUCUCGUUUUUCUAACGCGAUAAAGGCUUGUUGAUGACGACUUAGUCAUAAUUUUCAUUGCCAAAAGCAACACUAUUCUGGCGGCCUGUUUCCAUUCCAGGGUUAUUCUAGUCUUAGUCUGUUUUAGUCUAUUCGUUUUAGUUACGUCUAUAUUCUUUCUAGUGUUAUCGAAAUAUAUUGCACUAUGUAUUUAACUACAGUUAUUGUCACACGCCCAACAUGCACGUUGCGUCCUGUUUGUUGUUUGUUUGUUUGUUUGUUUUUCUUUCUCACGCGAUAAAGGUUUGUGAUGACGAUAUUUUGUCAUUAUUUUCGUUGCUAAAAGCGACAUUAUUUGCAACUACUGGUGGUGGUGGUUAUCAGGUACUAAACUCAUAAAGCAAAAUUUGGCUAUAUAACUCAAGGUUAACCUGCAGCAACCCCGGCAAGUUUGACCACGUCGGUGGAUCAUCUAGAAAACACUCUUGAGUUCGGGUGUCACGUUGGUGGCAUAUCAUGGAAAAAAUAAAACUCAAGGUUCGCAGCGGCGACCCCGGUGAGUGCGUUGGCCAAAGCGCAGCGGUAACAACUCGGGCACUCGUAACUAUGACCACGUCGGUGGCACGUUAUCUAUUACUCAUGGUUGACUGCAGUAACCCCCGGUGAGUGCGUUGACCAUGUCAACGCACAAUUGGGGCACAACUCAGGCACUCGUGAGUUUGUUGCACACGUCGGUGCGGUACAACACAGUACUCAACGUCCUACAUCCGGUCGAGUUCAAGGUUCUUUCUUCAAGCGCACACGAUGC
ensembl:lncRNA